rnacentral:lncRNA from 1 species
CUUACAGUAUAGUUACUACGUAGUGGAAGUUUGUUUUGGAGAAAGAUUUUGAAGCAGGAGGUGGAGCUGCUUGAACAGUGGCCCAAGCCUAGAUAGAAAGGUCUCAUUGCGCCUGCUCACUUCUGACUGCCUUUUGAAGAAAAGAAAAAGGUGAACUAAGUAGGUCUAACUUUUGCAUCGGAUUCUUUAGGGAAAACACCUACCAAGGCUUCCUAUUACCUAUUUCACAGUGAACUGGUGAGGGACCUGCUAUGGCCAUCCCUUCAGAGUGCUGAUGCAGAAUGUUUCAUCAUUACUAACAGGAUACUCCUCAUGCUAUUGCUGUCUGCAUUUAGAAGAAUAAGAAACAUGACCUCCCGAACCUAUUAUCACAGAUUUUGGCAAAUAUUUUAGAAUGACUCUGCUAAACAAGAUGGAAGUACUCAAAGGACUUGUUUGGAAGACCCUCCAGAGAGAUACAUUUCCAAAGGAGACUCCUGAGUGGACAGAAGGGGUGAUAGGGUGAAGUUGAGCACUGAUGUUUCCUGUGUGGAACACUGUAUGUGUUGGUGAUUCUUUGAACUACCCAUUAGUAUUCUGUGGUAUUCUGUACAUUUGAAAUGCAUUGGCUUCAUUUG